rnacentral:rRNA from 1 species
AACGAACGCUGGCGGCAGGCCUAACACAUGCAAGUCGAACGCCGUAGCAAUACGGAGUGGCAGACGGGUGAGUAACGCGUGGGAACAUACCCCUCGGUUCGGAAUAACUCAGGGAAACUUGAGCUAAUACCGGAUACGUCCGAGGUUUUAAUCGACCUUGGAGAAGGAUUUAUCGCCGGAGGAUUGGCCUGCGUCUGAUUAGCUUGUUGGUGAGGUAAUGGCUCACCAAGGCGACGAUCAGUAGCUGGUCUGAGAGGAUGAUCAGCCACAUUGGGACUGAGACACGGCCCAAACCUCC